CUAACAUCUAACAUAUUUGUCACUAAUAUAUAAAGUUGGAACUAAUAACUUCAAUUGAAAAUUAAUGUUAAAAAUCAAGAUAAAAACAUGUCAUAAAUCGUAAUCUAUUUCCCUAAACUUGAGAUGUAAGAAGCAAAAGAACAAACAUGUUUUGUGCACAGGUAAAAAAACACAUUAUAAAUUCAAGUUUUAUUGAAAGAACAAUGACAAUGAUUCACCUUAAUCACUGCUAACAAUUUUGUGUAUGUACGGACCAUUCUAGCACAUGCAUCUAUUCUAUUUAGACAUUCUUUCAAGCAAUUAGAAUAUGUCAUACUCUAUAUUUCUAACUUGCUGUUUCAAAGGUUACAACCAUUGCAUCAGAUGUUCUCUCAAAAUGUGAGGUGAACUGACCUGCUUCUAUAGCCGAGCUUAAAAAGAGAACUGAUGAAAGAGUUCUACUAGAAAAACAGGCUUAAUGACAAGAUUUUUUGGCUGAUAUAAUCAGUCGGCCUUGACCAUAUGAUUGAAUUAUAUGUUGACACUAUUAUUGAAACAACCCAACCCAAUUUUCUAUGGACCGUUAAAAACAACCUAUUUUAAUAAUGUUGCUCGCGGUCUCUCCCAUUUACUUGGAGGGCUAUGGUAUUCAUUUAGAGCCCAUUAUCUUUGUGUUGAGCCUUGUUUGGACCACUAAAUUAACCUAACCUAACUUACCAUUUUUGGCCACUCACUAGUUUAUAACUUAUGGCUCCUUCCACGCCUCCAUAUGAAGAACGCUCCAUCUCUUUCUGUGAUCUUGAUUCUCGGCCUUUUUCUUUCAAAUAACCUGUGUGGUUUUCUCUUGGGCUGUAUUGUUUCUUUAUCUUGGUCGACUCUUUGUGAGUAUAAAUAGCAACCGUAGGUGGGAAGAAAGAAAGUGAAAGUUGGGUGUUGUCUCAAUCGUGGUUGUGUCGAUAUUUGGUGAAAAUUGAGCCCGGUAUCGCCUUGGUUAUUGCUGGAAUUUCACCUCACACCUAUCAUUAAGCCUGUUUCUUC
rnacentral:lncRNA from 1 species